GGCACCCCAGUGGGGGAAGGGGAUCUCUUUUAACCCUUUCCUUGCUAAGCGCUUGCAACAAGACUAUCUCCCUCAGGUGCGCUCGGGCACCCCAGUGGGGGAAGGGGAUCUCUUUUAACCCUUUCCUUGCUAAGUGCUUGCAACAAGACUAUCUCCCUCAGGUGCGCUCGGGCACCCCAGCGGGGGAAGGGGAUCUCUUUUAACCCUUUCCUUGCUAAGUGCUUGCAACAAGACUAUCUCCCUCAGGUGCGCUCGGGCACCCCAGAGGGGGAAGGGGAUCUCUUUUAACCCUUUCCUUGCUAAGCGCUUGCAACAAGACUAUCUCCCUCAGGUGCGCUCGGGCACCCCAGUGGGGGAAGGGGAUCUCUUUUAACCCUUUCCUUGCUAAGCGCUUGCAACAAGACUAUCUCCCUCAGGUGCGCUCGGGCACCCCAGUGGGGGAAGGGGAUCUCUUUUAACCCUUUCCUUGCUAAGCGCUUGCAACAAGACUAUCCCCUCAGGUGCGCUCGGGCACCCCAGCGGGGGAAGGGGAUCUCUUUUAACCCUUUCCUUGCUAAGUGCUCGUAAUGAGACUAUCCCCUCAGGUGCGCUCGGGCACCCCAGUGGGGGAAGGGGAUCUCUUUUAACCCUUUCCUUGCUAAGUGCUUGCAACAAGACUAUCUCCCUCAGGUGCGCUCGGGCACCCCAGUGGGGGAAGGGGAUCUCUUUUAACCCUUUCCUUGCUAAGUGCUCGUAAUGAGACUAUCUCCCUCAGGUGCGCUCGGGCACCCCAGUGGGGGAAGGGGAUCUCUUUUAACCCUUUCCUUGCUAAGCGCUUGCAACAAGACUAUCUCCCUCAGGUGCGCUCGGGCACCCCAGUGGGGGAAGGGGAUCUCUUUUAACCCUUUCCUUGCUAAGUGCUCGUAAUGAGACUAUCUCCCUCAGGUGCGCUCGGGCACCCCAGUGGGGGAAGGGGAUCUCUUUUAACCCUUUCCUUGCUAAGCGCUCGUAAUGAGACUAUCUCCCUCAGGUGCGCUCGGGCACCCCAGUGGGGGAAGGGGAUCUCUUUUAACCCUUUCCUUGCUAAGCGCUUGCAACAAGACUAUCUCCCUCAGGUGCGCUCGGGCACCCCAGUGGGGGAAGGGGAUCUCUUUUAACCCUUUCCUUGCUAAGCGCUCGUAAUGAGACUAUCUCCCUCAGGUGCGCUCGGGCACCCCAGCGGGGGAAGGGGAUCUCUUUUAACCCUUUCCUUGCUAAGCGCUUGCAACAAGACUAUCUCCCUCAGGUGCGCUCGGGCACCCCAGCGGGGGAAGGGGAUCUCUUUUAACCCUUUCCUUGCUAAGCGCUUGCAACAAGACUAUCUCCCUCAGGUGCGCUCGGGCACCCCAGCGGGGGAAGGGGAUCUCUUUUAACCCUUUCCUUGCUAAGUGCUUGCAACAAGACUAUCUCCCUCAGGUGCGCUCGGGCACCCCAGCGGGGGAAGGGGAUCUCUUUUAACCCUUUCCUUGCUAAGCGCUUGCAACAAGACUAUCUCCCUCAGGUGCGCUCGGGCACCCCAGCGGGGGAAGGGGAUCUCUUUUAACCCUUUCCUUGCUAAGCGCUUGCAACAAGACUAUCUCCCUCAGGUGCGCUCGGGCACCCCAGCGGGGGAAGGGGAUCUCUUUUAACCCUUUCCUUGCUAAGCGCUUGCAACAAGACUAUCUCCCUCAGGUGCGCUCGGGCACCCCAGUGGGGGAAGGGGAUCUCUUUUAACCCUUUCCUUGCUAAGCGCUUGCAACAAGACUAUCUCCCUCAGGUGCGCUCGGGCACCCCAGUGGGGGAAGGGGAUCUCUUAACCCUUUCCUUGCUAAGCGCUUGCAACAAGA